rnacentral:rRNA from 1 species
AACGAACGCUGGCGGCAGGCCUAACACAUGCAAGUCGAACGCCGUAGCAAUACGGAGUGGCAGACGGGUGAGUAACGCGUGGGAACCUUCCCUAUGGUUCGGAAUAGCUCAGGGAAACCUGGGGUAAUACCGGAUAAGCCCUUCGGGGGAAAGAUUUAUCGCCAUUGGAUGGGCCCGCGUCGGAUUAGCUAGUUGGUGAGGUAACGGCUCACCAAGGCGACGAUCCGUAGCUGGUCUGAGAGGAUGAUCAGCCACACUGGGACUGAGACACGGCCCAGACUCCUACGGGAGGCAGCAGUGGGGAAUAUUGGACAAUGGGCGAAAGCCUGAUCCAGCCAUGCCGCGUGAGUGACGAAGGCCUUAGGGUUGUAAAGCUCUUUUGGCGGGGAAGAUAAUGACGGUACCCGCAGAAGAAGCACCGGCUAACUCCGUGCCAGCAGCCGCCGUAAUAC